rnacentral:rRNA from 1 species
UGCGUAGGCGGCUUUGCAAGUCAGAUGUGAAAUCUAUGGGCUCAACCCAUAAACUGCAUUUGAAACUGUAGAGCUUGAGUGAAGUAGAGGCAGGCGGAAUUCCCCGUGUAGCGGUGAAAUGCGUAGAGAUGGGGAGGAACACCAGUGGCGAAGGCGGCCUGCUGGGCUUUAACUGACGCUGAGGCACGAAAGCGUGGGUAGCAAACA